rnacentral:snRNA from 1 species
AGAUGUAAGAGUGACUUGGCUGUGACAUGUGUCACUCCAUUGAUCAACGGGAUUGAUUAGGCUGAUCUGGCAGGCUAGGUGGGUGUCUACUUCCCCUUCAACACUCCAUGUGCCUACCUCCCAAAGCUGUGCAUUCAAUUAAAGAGGAUGACUACCUCCAGUGGAGGAGGACCAUUUCCUCAGUCAAGGGUAUAUGAGUAGCUGUGCUUCCUGUUAGAAACUUUAAAUAAGCUCUCAGGUUUCCUAUAAGUAAUGGACUUUAAGAGCUACAUUGACAUAAGGAAAUAGAAAAAUGCUAUACCAUGAAGAUAGCAUAAAAGAACCU